rnacentral:ncRNA from 1 species
AUGAUAGGGAAGCCAACGACCGAAGCCCCAGUGAACGGCGGCUGUAACUAUAACGGUCCUAAGGUAGCGAAAUUCCUUGUCGGGUAAGUUACGACCCGCACAAAAGGCGUAACGAUCUGGGCACUAUCUCGGAGAGAGACUCGAUGAAAUAGACAUGUCUGUGAAGAUGCGGACUACCUGCACCUGGACAUAAAGACCCUAUGAAGCUUUACUGUUCCCUGGGAUUAUCUUUGGGUUCUUCUUGCACAGCUUAGGUGGAAGGCAAAGAAGGCUCCCUCUUGGGGGGGCCUGAGUGUAAGGUAGCUAGAGAGGUGGUGGGGGGGCCAGAGGGCCCAUAGUGAUAAUAGUGGAGGUCAUUCAAUAUAAGGUGGACUAGGUCCACUAUAUUAUUAAAUAAGGCCCACUAUGGUAGUUAGAUAUAAUAUAUGUAAGAGGGCUUCUUAGAAGGUUCUACUUCUAGAAGAUUCCUCCUCUAGAAUGUUCUUAGGUGAUGGUAGAACUAUAUAAAGGGGUUCAAGCAAUGUAAUGAGAC